rnacentral:lncRNA from 1 species
GACGCACUUUCUGCUGGUGGGAGGAGAACUAGGGACCGGAGCCCACUGGUGACGUUUCUUUCACGUGAUCAGAAGCCGAAGUGUGCAGAAAUCCCUCUCCUCCAGGUACUAGCUCCCUAUUUCCGUGGAGAAAGAUUUCAGACCGAGGGACAGAGGGUAGCUGUCCUAUAGCCCUGCAGGUCUUCAGGUCUGUGGUUGUAGGCAUCAACCCAGACAAGAAAAGGAAAGACCUGCAGGACCAGUGCAGGA